rnacentral:rRNA from 1 species
UACAGAGGUCUCUAGCGUUGUUCGGAUUCAUUGGGCGUAAAGGGUGCGUAGGCGGCGCGGUAAGUCGGGUGUGAAAUCUCGGGGCUUAACUCCGAAACUGCAUUCGAUACUGCCGUGCUUGAGGACUGGAGAGGAGACUGGAAUUUACGGUGUAGCGGUGAAAUGCGUAGAUAUCGUAAGGAAGACCAGUGGCGAAGGCGGGUCUCUGGACAGUUCCUGACGCUGAGGCACGAAGGUCAGGGGAGCAAACGGG